CAUCGAUGACAUUUUACAACUGUCAUCCGCCCGGGUACUACGAGCAUCAGCUUAAAACCCAAAGGACUUGGCGGUGCUUUAGAUCCACCUAGAGGAGCCUGUUCUAGAACCGAUAACCCCCGUUCAACCUCACCCUUCCUUGUUUAUCCCGCCUAUAUACCACCGUCGUCAGCUUACCCUGUGAAGGCUUAAAUAGUAAGCAAAAUUGGCACAGCCCAAAACGUCAGGUCGAGGUGUAGCGUAUGGAAGGGGAAGAAAUGGGCUACAUUCCCUAAUCCAGCGCAUACGGACGACACAUUGAAAUACGUAUCCGAAGGAGGAUUUAGCAGUAAGCAGAAAAUAGAGCGUUCCGCUGAAACCGGCCCUGAAGCGCGC
rnacentral:rRNA from 1 species